UCCUUUUAGGCAAAGGAUGCUUUGAUUUUUGCGCAGUUUUCGUGCGGUUUUCGGAGCUACAGGACGCAGCAGCGGCAGCAACAGCAGCGUACACAGCAAAAAGCACCCAAAGAGGCAGCGUGAAAGAGGAUAGCAGGGGAGUUGUGGUUUUUUGCAGUGUGUCCGUGCGAGAAACAAUCCAAAAACAAUCGAAUUUCGUGCGAGACAGAAGCUCGAGUUGAAAAAGCAUAAUAAGCAAAAGGCAUAAAAGCCUGUGAGAAGGUGACAAAAGUAGCAAAAAGGGCAGGCUCUGCAAGGACCCUUGGAUUACCUUGCGGGGCAAGCGGAAGCAGCCAGCGCGGAUUCGCCGGCGGGCGGAACUCCGGCAGUUGCUGAAGCGCAAAGGAAGCAGAUCAGACUCGGUGGACGACGAAGCGACUAAGCAGCAGCAGAGACUGCAAGCAGUCAUCGUCAACAUUCGCCUCCCAUUAAGUGCCAAGAGCAACAGAGAAAGGGGAGGGCAGGGCUUCACGAAGGAGGCGAAGGAGGAGAACAAGAUAUUUGUAAGCCAAAAAAAGACAACGAGGCUGGCGCUAGCCCCAGGGCAGCAGCAAAAGUA